CAUUAAGAAAUCUCAGGCAAAAUGGGGGACGCACCUCUAGACUGGCACACAGAUUGGCACUGGUGCCUCAGAAGCCAGCUGAGCCUGAUUUUUCUGUUCACCAUCGCUAGAGACCUUGAAUACUCCAAGUGAAUUUAUCUUUUAGUUUUUGCUCAUAUUUUGCAAGUUCAAAUGCAGUUGUACAUUAAGCGUAAUAAUAUCGUGGUUGUAAGCUUGAAGUCGAUGUAUAUACAUCUUAAAUCUACAAGCUUGAUUACAUAUUUUGUUG
rnacentral:misc_RNA from 1 species